rnacentral:sRNA from 1 species
CCCUAGCCCUGAUAGCAGUGGUAAUCCUUUUAUCCUGAACUUGUUUCAGGAUCCUGAAACAAGUUCAGGAUAAAAAGAUUGAAACGAAUAGCAGGAUUAAGC